AAAUGUCAACCCCCCGGUCCAAGAACAAAAACUUGAUUUUUGGUUGUAGGGAGAUUUUCAACUUUCGAAUGCUAAGGUUUUUCUCAAUUCUGAAAAUUUUAUAAAUCUUAUCAUAGUAGAACAUUGCUAAAAGCCAAAAAUCCGGUAAAAUAAUCUUUUGUUUUGAUAUCAAUAAAGUUAUUUCCAUUCAGGCGAUUUAACAACAUUCGUAUACUUUAAAAUAAGUUUGACCGGAACAUAACUUUGUUAUAACAACUCAGAUUUAAGUAAUCUUAGACUUAUUGGAAAGUUAGUUUUGUGUUAUACCUAAUACAAAAAGACUUAUUUAAAAAUAAAAUCUUUUGACCAAUAAAACUUAUUAUAGAAGAAGAGCAUUUAUCUAAAUGUCAAUUAAGUCAUGUUGAUUUCUUAUGACUUGAUGUGAGUGUAACUAUGUUGAUUUUUAUGACUUGAUAUUGCUUAACGUUGAUAGGUUUUUUCUGUCAUAGGGUAUAUAUUAUAACAUCCAAAAUAACUUUAGAAAAUAGAGGGAAUAAAAAAUAGGGAAAAUUACAUGAUUACCUAUUUUUGGGUUUUCCUUUACAAAAUUAUCCAACUUAUGUUUCCGAUAACAAAAAUACAUUAUUUUGGGUUUGAAUUUACAAAACUACCCAAAACAGUGUUCAUCCCUCAACUAAGGAGGUUGGUUGACAGCUUUACCCCCCACUUCUCUUCUCCCACCCGCUGCUAUUCGCCUUCUUCUUCUUCUUUCUUCUUUCUACCCCCACUUCGGGGAUGCAAAUAGUUCCCAGCGGCUGCAACCGCCUCAUCGUAAGGCCCCAACCCAACAAUUGCCUCACCGCCCACAUCCCAUUUAGGGAUGCCAAGUUCCCAGUACCAUUGCAUUUCAGAUAUUGGAUUGGUGAUAGGAAUCCAUAAACGGGUUGAUGAAAACCAGAAUACUCUCCUCCACAUCGCUGCCUACUCUGAAAACCUCCAAGUUGUCACGAAAACUACCAACAAUUAUGAUCGGAAGCAAGAACUGUAGAGGAGAUUUGAAAGUACUUGGAGGAAGCUCUGAUGUUGGGUUGUUAUUUUCGUUAAUUUGAAUGCCCCCUAAAAAUUUUCCAGGUUUUGAUCUGCGUGUAAUGGUUUUUGGAGUUUCACCUUUGUGGGUUUGUGUUUUGUGUUCGUUUUUUUUUUGCUCUUCCGCAGUUCCAGAUCUCGAAUUUGUGAAGUUUAGAGUUUAUAGCAAACAAGUCAAUAUGAAAUCAGAGAAGUAGAGGUGCAAAAGAAAUUCUGGUUGUGAUGGUAUCAAUAUUUCCUUUAGCCUUCAUUUUACUCUUUUUAAAGAUUUAAAUCCCGUUGAUGUCUACACUAAGACUUGGUGCUCGUUGAGUUCGAAUCAAAGCAGUACUCUCCCUGUUACUAUUUAAUUCUAUACUUGGGUUCUGAGUU